GUUCACAUGCGCGCAAUGGUCAGUCGAUAAUGUGGCGGGAAUAUCGUGAUUUUAAAUGAUAUACUUCAUCGUGCUAUGUAAUUGUCAACUUUUGACAGAUUUUCCGGCGGAAAUGUUACUUUCAACAAAACAUCUGACGGCCAUUCUAUUCAAACUGCUAGUAUUAAUCAGUGAAAUAGCUUUUAUAUGAAAAGAUAAUUUAAAACAUAUAAAUAAAAAUUAAAAUUUAUAUACAUAUUAAAUAUAAGAAAUUCUUUAUCUAAAUUAAUUAUAUAAGUUACAUUUAAGAUAAACAAUUCAAAUUGUUUAUAUUUAAAUAAAUUUUAUUUAAAUAAUUUAAUUAAAUAUUUAAAUAAAUUUUACUUAAAUAAAUUUAUAUGUUAAAUUAUAUUAUAAUUUAACGUUUUUAUAAAAAUAUAAAAAAAAAUUAAAUAUAAGUAUUAUUUAUUGUUUUCAAAUCAUUGUUUCGAUCAGAUUAUUUAUUUCUUUACUUUUCUCUAAUGAAAAUAUUAUUAAGAAUCAUUCAAAAAUCAUCGGAAAAAAAAUAGCAGAUAGAAUAAAAAUUAAAUAAAAUAACGAAUCGAAUUACUUACAUUACAUUAUAAUGAAGAUAAUUUUAUAUGAUUAAUAAUAUUCUAAAAUGAAAACAUUUAAUAUUAUCUAUAUAAUAAUCAUUGCUUUAACAUAUGUAAUAAAUGUUAAUCGAAUCGUAUGUGAUUACCAUUCUGAAUCGAAACACGAUUAACAAUAUGUAAUUGCAUAAAUAUUCAAUUAAAUGAUAAAUUUAAUCUAUAUUUCAAAGAUUUCACGCAUUUGAUAUAGGAAACCAAAAUAUCCAACAUAUGUAUAGAAAGCCUAAUACCAAUCGAUGACAAAGUUUGGCGCGUGAUUCGUCGCAGUCAACUGACACUUUUGAAUAUUUCGAUUUCCAACAAAAAAUAAAAUAAACCUGGCAGCGUAUAGUGUAUAUUCAUAUACGAUCGAAAGAAAAUAUUUUCGAUCAAAACGAUUUAUAGAUGUACUUAUCUACCAUAGUCAUUAUUACACAUCGGUAAUAACGGUAUGAAUAUAGAAAGAAUAAUAUUCCGCGCUAUGACAUCAUUUACAUUCGCCUUUAAUACUUAACCAUGCUGUAAUACGUAAUCAAGGUGAGACAGAGAAGGGUUGAGGAGACAGAGGAAAGAAGACGAAAUCAAACGGAAAGCAUGAAAACGCACGAGCAGAUAGCCUUGGCCCAUACCUUUGCCCGUGUGUCGGCCACCGUACCCACUGGUUACCCUGGAAACGGUAUCGAUUUCAACCCUCAGCUAUGCAGUAGAAACCAGCGGCACACCAUGGGGGUCUCUUCAUCCCGAGUUUCGACAAGACAGCCCGUUUAAACUACCCGAUUACACCAACCUCCAUCUCUAUUACCGUCUUACAUUUCGUUUCGCGUACUUCACAAAUUCAGUUCUUCAAAUAAUGUUUGAGGUUAGGGGACACUGUGAAAUUAACGGCGAAAUUUGGAACUAUUACGAACUACUUUUUUGAUUCAAUGAUAUCCGCUUUUAUAGGCGGCUAAUUCGGCGUAUUUACUUAUGUUAAUCCUCUUUAUUGUAAAAUCCUCUUUAUUAUACGAAAGAUAUAUGUUUAUGGAAGAAUAUUACAUUCAGUUGAAAAAUAAAUGUAUUGUAAAUUACAUUGGCUGA